rnacentral:rRNA from 1 species
UACGUAGGGUGCAAGCGUUAAUCGGAAUUACUGGGCGUAAAGGGCUCGUAGGCGGCCAACUAAGUCGGAUGUGAAAUCCCCAGGCUCAACCUGGGAACUGCAUCCGAUACUGGAUGGCUUGAAUUCGGGAGAGGGAUGCAGAAUUCCAGGUGUAGCGGUGAAAUGCGUAGAUAUCUGGAGGAAUACCGGUGGCGAAGGCGGCAUCCUGGACCGACAUUGACGCUGAUGAGCGAAAGCUAGGGGAGCAAACGGG